rnacentral:lncRNA from 1 species
GAAGCCUGUGACCGUGGGACUCGGCGGGCACCGUUUGCGCCCCCCCAAUUGGGAAAAGGAGCUCGGCAACAGGCUCCGGAGCGGAGCGGGGAAGUGGCACGGUGCUGUGAGUCAAUUGCUUCUUCCGUGGAGCGAAGCCGCGCAGCUGUUACCGGAGAGCACUGCCUUUUUCCUGGGACAAUUUGGCUGUAUAACAACGAUCCGUGAGUAGGCUAACUGCGGAAUUAAAGGAACUUUACAAAUUUCAUGAACAAUUUGGCACCGAAGCGGAGAGGCAUAAACAGGAAGUCUGCCUUCCGUUCUUGUAAAUGGAGUAAAGCAAUGAACUUGAAAGCGGAAACCUUAAAAGACGUCGGAAAAGGAUUAUAAUUCGAGCAUCGAAACAGUGAUUUCCCCCCCUUGAUUGCAGGGGAGGAGGGGGGAGAAGGUUUGAACGUUUUUUCCCUGCAAGAAAAGAGAGGAAGAGGAGCUAAAAUCCACCGCUUAAAACCCUGGAACGGGUUCCCAGUGACAGUAAGAAAGCCGUACUGAGAAUCGCGCUGUGGCUGAAAGUACUUUUUGACAGUUAACUCUGCAUCUGAGAUACAAGUAAGAUACAAUAUUUCUGACUGGCUUCUCCUGGUUUUAAAGUAACAGGAAACAACUGAGAUAGAAACUGUUGUCCUUUUUGUGACUUGGGGGGCAAAAGGGAAAAGUUAAUUACUUAAAGACAUUUUUGACUGCUACUGUGUCCCCCUAGAGGAAGUUGGAAAUUGUUACAACACCAGCUGGGCCAAGGGAACUUUCCAUUUCAAAACAACUUUGGCUUUGAGUGUGAGAUUGACCUUGGGCUAUAUCUUGAGGGUUAUGGCAGACGGGAAAGAGAAGAUAGACUUGUUACAAGCAACGAGGUCUGGCAGAGUAUAUCGCACAGUGGGCUGCAAAUAAGAGCAUCGACAUCUGGCCCUGCUGGUUUACCAAUAGCAACCCCAUCGGCACAACCUAAACCUAAAGGUAUGGCAGCUGACGAUGCCCUGGCUCAGGCACUAGCUAAAAUUAAUGAAUCUUUGGAAAGAAUAAGUAAACAAGUAGCCGAGGCAUCGGGCAAAAUUGAUCAAAAUACCACAAGUAUUAAUAAUUUGUGACAGAAGGUAAAUACUAAUACAGAAACUAUUCAGAAAUUAUUACAGGAAUCCACCUCGACACGAGAGAUAGCCGCAGAGGCAAAGGAAAUUGCAACUGUUACAGCCACUGUUGUAGAAGAGAAGAUACCACCGUUACACAAACAACUUGAAGACCAUAAGUCAAUACUGUCUAUGAUUGAGUUGAAGGAGAAACAAGUGAACCUAAGGGUCAGGGCCGUACCUGAACUGGAGAAAGACAAUUUGAUUGAAUUUCUUACGCAGGAAUUUGCAGACUUUUGGAACCCAGAUUUGGAGGAUAGUUUCAAGAUAGUGAGUGCUUUUAGGCUUGGAAAAGGAGGGAGGAAGAACAGGGUGAGAGACUGUUUGAUCACCCUCCAAACAAAAGAGGAGAGAGACAAAAUCUUGAGUCUGCACUUCCAGAAGACCUUGGAAAUACAUCACUCAAAAGUGGAGAUAUUUAAAGAUAUUCCGAAACAUCUUUUGGACCUUAGGUCAAAUUAUAGAGACUUGGUUGGCCUGCUGAGAAGUAACGGAAUUAUUUUUAGGUGGGAAUUCCCCCAAGGCCUAUCCUUCAGUUACAAAGGGAAGAAGAUAAAAAUAAGAUCAGAGGACGACAAAGAUAAAUUUUGGAGAGACCACGGAGAAGACCUGCAGAAGAAAGUUACAGGAGAGCUAAGAGCACUUGUAAGUGAAACUCUAGACAUUCCAGAUUUACCUCCUGAACUAAAAGACCGUCUGCAGAAGGUGAUACCACCAACAGAACAGGAACAGGCACUGGGUGCAGUUGGAGGAGAAGCAAAGUAACUACAUCAUGGCUCUGCAACUACUAAGUUGGAAUUGUAAUGGUUUGAACUCCCCCCGGAAAAGGAGAUCUGUGUUUCAUUUAUUAAAAAAAGGAACAAUUGGACUUGAUUUGUUUACAAGAGACACAUAUAACAAGGUUACACAGGAAACUAUUGAUUAAUAAAAGACUUGGUCAGGAGUUUAUUUCAUCGGACAAGGUUAAAAAAAGAGGGGUAGUGAUUUAUGCAAAGGAGAGAUUAUUACCGAAAUUUAUCUUUAAAGAUGACCAAGGAAGAUUUGUUGCAAUUGAAAUUCAAACACAAGGAGAAAAAUUUUUGAGAGCCAGUGUGGUGUAGUGGUUAAGAGCGGUAGUCUCCUAAUCUGGGGAACCGGGUUUGCGUCUCCGCUCCUCCACAUGCAGCUGCUGGGUGACCUUGGGCCAGUCACACUUCUUUGAAGUCUCUCAGCCCCACUCACCUCACAGAGUGUUUGUUGUGGGGGAGGAAGGGAAAGGAGAUUGUUAGCCGCUUUGAGACUCCUGAAGGGGAGUGAAAGGCGGGAUAUCAAAUCCAAACUCUUCUUCUUCUUCUUCUGAUAGUAGGAGUUUACGCACCAAAUGAGGGGAAAUCUGAUUUUUUUAAAAAGUUGCAUGAUACCCUGAUGGACUAUUUGGAUUAUAAUGUGAUUUUGAUGGGAGACAUGAAUGGAGUGGUAUCUACACAUAUGGACAAGGCACAAAGACAGGUAGUUACUAAGGAUGGUAGACUACCGAAAACUUUUUUUGAGAUGACAGACAACUUGGACUUAGUCGAUAUUUGGAGAACAAAGAACCCCUUGGUUAAGGAAGGAACCUUCUUUUCUGAAGCCAAAAUGACAUGGACAAGAAUUGACCAAAUAUGGAUAACUAGAGGAAUGGCACCAAAGACUAGAAAAGUGGAAAUCUGCCCAAAAACCUGCUCCGACCAUAAUGCUGUUAAGAUGGAAAUGAAACUAACACCAACUGGCUCCUUCAGAUGGAGGAUGAAUGACACCUUAUUUAGAGAUGAAGAAGUGCUUAAGAAGGCCCAAAAAACCUUGAGAGAUUAUUUUGAGAUAAACAUGAGUACCAGUGUGGAAAAAAGAGUAAUCUGGGACGCAAGUAAAGCUGUUAUGAGAGGGUUCCUGAUACAACAGAAUGUAUUAAAGAAGAGAACCCAAAAUGAGAAGAAGGAUAAAAUUUUGGAGAAAAUAAAGGAAAGUGAAAAAAAAUUGAGAGUAAAACCAAAGUCGCAAGAGAUUUUAAGAAAAAAUAAAAUUAUAUCAAGUAUAUCAAAAUUAUAUCAAUUAUAUGAAAAUGAUGAAUCAGGAGAUAGAAUGGAAAAUUAAACAAAUGAGACAAAAGACAUUCGAGUCGGCUAAUAAAUGUGGGAAAUUGUUGGCUUGGCAAAUGAAAAAAAGACAAAAAUACAGUUACAAAUUUAGAAGUGGAAGGAAGGAAUAUACAGAACCCAGCUGAGAUUAGAAAUUGCUUCCAGAGGUACUUUAAACAACUAUAUACACAAGGGCCACAGAAAGAAACUGAUGUAGAUCGAUUUUUGAAAACAAAUGGAUUACAAAAAAUCUCUCAAGAAAAUAAAUUAAAGUUGAAUUACAAAAUAACUGAACAGGAGAUAGAAGGUGCCAUUCAGAAUAUGCAAUUGGGUAAAUCUCCAGGACCGGAUGGACUGACUUCUAGAUAUUAUAGAUCUCAAAAAGAAUGGUUAGUACAACCUUUGAAAGAGGUCUGUAAUGAAAUAAUGGAGGGGAAAAGGGCACCAGAGUCGUGGAAAGAAGCUUAUAUCACACUUGUACCGAAAACAGAGACGGAAAAGAUGCAGCUUAAGAACUACCGCCCCAUAUCACUGCUUAAUGUGGAUUACAAAAUUUUUGCAGAUAUUUUGGCUAAAAGACUAAAAAGAGUGUUAGUGGAAGAGAUACAUAAGGACCAAGCAGGCUUUCUCCCAGGAAUACAUCUAUCUGAUAAUGUGAGAAACAUAAUUAAUAUUUUCGAAAAAUUACAAGAGAACAUAAAUACUAAGGCAGUUUUAAUUUUUGUGGACGCGGAGAAAGCUUUUGACAAUAUUUCUUGGACUUUUAUGAAAAAAAACUUACAGGGUAUGGGGGUAGGCCAAGGUUUUGAAAAUGGUAUAAGUGCAAUAUAUUCUGAACAAAAGGCUAAAUUAAUUGUAAAUAAUGUGGUGACGGAAGAAUUUAAGAUAGAAAAAGGGACACAACAAGGCUGCCCAAUCUCCCCACUGCUUUUUAUAUCGGUCCUGGAGGUUCUGCUGAAUAUGAUAAGAAGGGACCAGUUGGUUAAAGGUAUACAGGUCGGAGCCAAACAGUACAAAUUGAGAGCAUUUGCAGAUGACUUAGUAUUGACGUUACAGGAGCCAGAAUCUAGUACUAAAAGGGUUUUAGAACUGAUUCAAGAAUUUGGUCAGGUUGCAGGGUUUAAACUGAAUAAGUCAAAAACCAAGGUUUUAGAGAAAAAUUUAACACUAACUGAGAGAGAGAGGUUUCAGAAUGAGACAGGUUUAACAGUGGUCAAGAAAGUUAAAUACUUGGGGAUUAAUAUGACAGCAAAAAAUGGGAAUUUAUUUAAAGACAAUUAUGAAAAAUGCUGGGCUGAAGUGAAAAAAGAUUUAGAAAUUUGGUCAAAUUUGAAGCUUUCACUACUAGGCCGUAUUGCUGCGAUAAAAAUGAAUGUAUUGCCUAGAAUGUUGUUUUUGUUUCAAACAUUGCAAAUUGUGGACAAAAUGGACUGUUUCAAGAAGUGGCAGAGAGAUAUUUCUAGAUUUGUCUGGCAGGGCAAGAAGCCUAGAAUAAAAUUUAAAAUACUAACAGAUGCAAAGGAAAGAGGUGGAUUUGCCCUGCCAGACUUUAAACUUUACUAUGAAUCAGCAGCUUUUUGCUGGUUGAAAGAAUGGCUGCUUCUUGAAAACGCAGACAUUUUGGAUUUAGAAGGUUUUAACAACGUAUUUGGAUGGCAUGCAUAUUUGUGGUAUGAUAAGGUCAAAGCGCAUAAAGCAUUUAAAAACCAUAUUGUCAGGAAAGCACUGUUUAAUGUCUGGAUAAGAUAUAAGGACUUAUUGGAAAAUAAAACUCCAAGGUGGCUGUCACCGAUGGAAGCGAAAGCUCAGAAAAAACUCAAUAUGGAGGUCAAAUGGCCGAAAUAUUGGAAAUUUUGAAACAGUAUGGAGAUAGGCUGAAAUUGCAGAGUUUUGAAAAACUAAAAAACAAAGUGCGAGACUGGCUUCAUUAUUAUCAGAUAAUGGAGGCAUACAAUUUGGACAAGAAAAUCGGCUUCCAGGUGGAAAAAUCAAAAUUAGAAACAGAAUUGUUAGAACCCAAAACUAAGAUUUUGUCAAAGAUGUAUAACUUGCUGUUGAAAUGGAAUACUCAGGAUGAAACGGUGAAAUCUGCUAUGAUUAAAUGGGCACAAGAUGUUGGACAUAACAUAAUGAUGGCUGACUGGGAACAGUUAUGGACCACAGGUAUGAAGUUUACGGCAUGCAAUGCCUUAAGAGAGAAUAUUAUGAAAAUGAUAUACAGGUGGUACAUGACCCCAGUCAAGCUUGCAAAAAUCUAUCAUUUGCCCGAUAAUAAAUGUUGGACAUGUAAAGAAACUGAAGGUACAUUCUUUCACCUUUGGUGGACGUGCCCAAGGAUUAAGGCUUUCUGGGAGAUAAUUUAUAAGGAAUUGAAAAAGGUAUUUAAAUAUACCUUCUUGAAGAAACCAGAGGCCUUUCUCCUGGGCAUAGUCGGCCAAUCGGUGUUAAAGAAGGAUAGAACUUUCUUUAUGUAUGCCACAACAGCAGCAAGAAUACUUAUUGCAAAGUAUUGGAAGACACAAGACCUACCCACUCUGGAAGAAUGGCAGAUGAAGGUGAUGGACUACAUGGAAUUGGCGGAAAUGACUGGUAGAAUCCGAGACCAGGGAGAAGAGUCGGUGGAAGAAGAUUGGAAGAAAUUUAAAGACUAUUUACAGAAAUAUUGCAAAAUUAAUGAAUGUUAGAAUGAUGCUGGAUUGAAGUUAAGUGGUUUCUAGCUGUAUUGGUAUAAAAGAAUAUGAAAAGAAUUGGAUUUUUAACAGGUAAAUUAAUGUUAUAAUAUACUAAGAUUAAAGAUCAGGAUAAAAUAAGGAGGGAAAGGAAUUGCUGAACUAAUAAAUUGAACUGGAAUACAAAAAGGGGAGGUAUGAGGAGGUCCAGGAAACAAGUAAAUGAAAGAUAAGUGAUG